rnacentral:rRNA from 1 species
GUUAGGAAUAUUGGACAAUGGGCGCAAGCCUGAUCCAGCCAUGCCGCGUGAGUGAUGAAGGCCUUCGGGUUGUAAAGCUCUUUAGUCCACGAAUAUAAUGACUGUAGUGGAAGAAUAAGCCCCGGCUAACUUCGUGCCAGCAGCCGCGGUAAUACGAAGGGGGCGAGCGUUAUUCGGAAUCACUGGGCGUAAAGCGUGCGUAGGCUGUUUUGUAAGUCAGAAGUGAAAGCCCAGGGCUUAACCCUGGAAUUGCUUUUGAAACUACAAGACUCGAAUUCGGGGGAGGAUAGCGGAAUUGUCAGUGUAGCAGUGAAAUGCGUAGAUAUUGACAGGAACACCAGUGGCGCAAGCGGCUAUCUGGACCGAUAUUGACGCUGAGGCACGAAAGCGUGGGGAGCAAACAGGAUUAGAAACCCUGGUAGUCC